CACGGGGGGAGCAAGCGUUGUUCGGAAUCACUGGGCGUAAAGGGCGUGUAGGCGGUCAAGUAAGUGGAAUGUGAAAGCCCCCGGCUUACCCGGGGAUCUGCAUCCCAAACUGCUUGGCUUGAGUACGGGAGAGGAUAGGGGAAUUCCUGGUGUAGCGGUGAAAUGCGUAGAUAUCAGGAGGAACACCGGUGGCGAAGGCGCCUAUCUGGCCCGAUACUGACGCUGAGGCGCGAAAGCUAGGGGAGCAAACGGG
rnacentral:rRNA from 1 species